ACACAUGCAAGUCGAGGGGCAGCAUCAUCAAAGCUUGCUUUGAUGGAUGGCGACCGGCGCACGGGUGAGUAACACGUAUCCAACCUGCCGACAACACUGGGAUAGCCUUUCGAAAGAAAGAUUAAUACCGGAUGGCAUAAUUAUUCCGCAUGGGAUAAUUAUUAAAGAAUUUCGGUUGUCGAUGGGGAUGCGUUCCAUUAGGCAGUUGGCGGGGUAACGGCCCACCAAACCUACGAUGGAUAGGGGUUCUGAGAGGAAGGUCCCCCACAUUGGAACUGAGACACGGUCCAAACUCCUACGGGAGGCAGCAGUGAGGAAUAUUGGUCAAUGGACGAGAGUCUGAACCAGCCAAGUAGCGUGAAGGAUGACUGCCCUAUGGGUUGUAAACUUCUUUUAUACGGGAAUAAAGUGAGCCACGUGUGGCUUUUUGUAUGUACCGUAUGAAUAAGGAUCGGCUAACUCCGUGCCAGCAGCCGCGGUAAUACGGAGGAUCCGAGCGUUAUCCGGAUUUAUUGGGUUUAAAGGGAGCGUAGGCGGGUUGUUAAGUCAGUUGUGAAAGUCUGCGGCUCAACCGUAAAAUUGCAGUUGAUACUGGCGACCUUGAGUGCAACAGAGGUAGGCGGAAUUCGUGGUGUAGCGGUGAAAUGCUUAGAUAUCACGAAGAACUCCGAUUGCGAAGGCAGCUUACUGGAUUGUAACUGACGCUGAUGCUCGAAAGUGUGGGUAUCAAACAGGAUUAGAUACCCUGGUAGUCCACACAGUAAACGAUGAAUACUCGCUGUUGGCGAUAUACAGUCAGCGGCCAAGCGAAAGCAUUAAGUAUUCCACCUGGGGAGUACGCCGGCA
rnacentral:rRNA from 1 species